CUCAGGGACGUGCCACUGCUCCUUGACGUUGGUGGCCGUGGGCGGGUUGAGCACCCUCAUGCGGACGGCGGUCUCGCCGGCGUCCAGCUGCGGACUGGCCGCGCACUCGGUCUCGUCCUUGGGCUUCUGGCAGUCGUUGACCCACUGCUGGAGGCCGUCGAAGUUGAACGAGGCCCACAGGCCGCCAUAGUACUCGUUGCUGCAAAAUCAACCACGUCGAUUAAUUCACUCGAAUUCGACACGCUUCGGCGCACGCACGUACCUGUCCAGGUGCAACACCCUCUUGCCGACGCGGCUCGCGGCCGCGGCCAAAAUCGACUCGGUCAUUCCUGCGUGCCGAAAAUUAAACAAUUAAGAAUAAUAGUGCCGAAUGCAUAAAAGGUGGAAAAUUUAAUUGCAAACCUGUGCCGACGACGAUGACGUCGUACUCCUUCGGAAACUCGUCGCCCAUUUCUCUCGAUAAUUAGCCCAAUUCGGCAGAAGAAGACUCUAUUCGGCGGGAGGCUCGUUCGGCGGCCGAGACGAACGAAUGCGGCGGAAUUGCUAUCUCGGUCGGGCCCUUAAAAGUUUAAAUUCCCAAAGUCGGCUCUUUUAUUGCUGCGAUUUGAUGGUGGUGAAUCGAGACACUGCCGGAAGCGCCACUGACGGCACUGACGGCAGCGCCGCCAACCUCCGAGCAACACCCAAGUGGACCUUUUUGCAGGUCACGUGACCGCACUUGCUGCACUCGCCAAAACCGGUCGGAACAGGCACAGAACUGCUUGACGAUUCGGGAGAACUUUUUUUCUUAAAAGUUUUUCUUCCAAGUUGUGCGUCCGUGCAGAGAGGAAGGCAAGAAAGGAACACAUUCCAUUGUAAUUCGAACUGCCUUCUUAUUUGGUCGCUGCGAGCGAGUCUCACUCAGAAUGCCGAGUAAAUCAAAUGCUGACAAUAAUAAUACGUACGAGGAGGAGUUGGACUGGAGCCGCAUCUUGAGAGGCGCCGACAAAAUCACUGACCUUCUGCACACAAUUGGGUUUCACGAGAUGAAAAGUGGACGCAGGUCAGCCAUGGGCAGCCUUCUCAUUUGGAUGUGUUUUUUUUUCAACGUCCCAUUUCCUGCUGCACUGAACGCCACCAAAGUUCUCAUCGGCCGGAGAUUUCAACUCUCGAAAUUUUGCUCAAGAGAAAUCGCCCUGCGCCCUGGCAGGCGCAUGGCACCUCUCGCUCACUGUCGGCCCAGGUCGUAUCCUGAAAGGUGCUGAUCAGACCUUUUAUUCGUUCAACCUUUUGGGUGCGGACAACAAAAACCGCUUUGACCCGGAGAGGUGUUGGUACGCGACCUUCACAGACGCAUCCUCCCUCACCUGCUUGGCCAAAGGCGAAGGUUAAUUUGGCCAAAAAUUUGUUCCGGGCGGAUGUUCAUCAUUUGAGAAAUCUCUUUCGUCAACGCAUAAAAACAGAGCAAAGGAGUUUCUUCCAGGGAGAAGCCUUUAUUGGCAGGGUUUAUUUGGAAAACCUCUUGCUGAGAUCUGCGGUUGAUCUAAUGGUGUGCUCUUGGGGCAAACAGCAGAUGAUGCAGCGCAUGUGAGAAAUUUGCAUUUUUCACUGCAAUUUAGUGCAAUCUGAAAGAAAGAUCCGUCCUGUCCAUCGUCCUGGGUGUUCACGGGUAUCAAAAGUAAUACACUCGAUGUAAAUGCAAAACUGACAAGAUUUAAAAGAUCAUCGCUGUCGUAAAAUUGGCCAACGCCACUUUGGGCGUAAAAAGGGUGUCUUUACCGGUGUCAUCGUCCUCGAAAUCAAAGAACUCUGACCAGCAGCGGACGACCUUGUUGCCUUCACCAAAGCAAAUUUUGAGAAAAGAAUUUUAGCUGAAAAAGAUCAAAGAGGUCCUGGCUUUUUUCUGGCAGUACCACCAACAACUUGCACCGAGACUGCAAAAUGCUUACCCUCGCUGAGGAGGGAAAAUUUAUUCGUCUGCCGAUAGAUUUGUUUGCAUCAGGCUAUAAUUUGAGAAGAAUUAAUUGUUUAGAGGAGAAAGAGUUUGGAGCUGGCAAGGUUGGACGCUUUUUGCUUGCCCGAUAUAAGCGGAUCAACCUGAGAAGGGCGCCAAUUUAACCUUGCUCUCGGCCACCUUCGAGCAGCAGUCCCUGCAGGAUUCGUCCUAAUGGAGAGACCUAGCUGCGUCCUGCCGACAGAACACCCGCUCUUCUGCUUUCUUUCAGCCGGCCAUGCAUCCUGGCUGGCGAAGCUGCCAAGUAUGCCGCAUGACGUUGAGUACCCUGAGAAGAACAUUUUAUGCUCUUUGAAGCCAUAGCGAGGUUCAUCACGAACAAGUCAGACACCUCCUCAAGAUUUUCGACCUUUCCUCAUGCAACCAUUUUAUGGCGAAUUUGAGAUAAAGCUGAAUAAAUUUGAAUUCUUUUAUUAAUUUCUAAUUUGCAAUUUUGUUUUUUGCCAAGAAUUUUUAAAUUUCUUACAAAUGUCGUCUACCUUUGUAAAAUUCAAACUGAAAAGCGUUUGAUUUUAUCUGGUCAUAAAAGGUUAUGUAUCAUGAUGU